GCCGGGGUGGUGGAAUUGGUAGACACGCUAGAUUCAGGUUCUAGUGUUCGCAAGGACAUGGGAGUUCGAGUCUCCCCUUCGGCA
rnacentral:tRNA from 1 species